CGACGGUUCCUUCGCCGCCACCGAAAACUGCCGAAUGCCCUAUGAUAUUCUACGUAGCCUCACAUUUACUCCUCUCUCAAUUGGAUUAGUAACGUCCUAUGACCUGACAUCUCCCCGUGCGGCAAUGCGAAAGGUUUUUCCAUUGAUUAAUGUCAAACCGUCGUCCUUCCAGCAGUAUAAGGCCGCUGUGUUGCGCCUCUUCACCAAGCCCCUCAGAUGCCUCUUCUUGAAUAAUCAUCUCGCUCUGUCCAUCGCCUGCGUCUACCGGUGUUGCGGGAUGUGAAAAACCGAUCACAACAUCCGUCUGAUCUCUUUAUAUGUCUUGAUCCCUUUGAUUUUAUCAUCUAAUGAUCUAUAAAUUUUACGCAGAUCCGUUUGUUCUCUUCUAUGUUGUUGCAGCUAUUCCGUCAGAGAACCAGAUUUCUACAUCGGUCAGUUUUACUGGUCCAUCAAUCUUUUUCCAAACGUCCCAUCUUCAAAUAGUUCCAGCUCUUCAGAUUACAAGUUAUAUUAGCAUGGAUAUGGAGGAAAGUUCUUCAGGUUACCCCAUCAUUGAGUUCUGCAAGGACGAUGUGGCCAACUCCAAUCGUCACCUGUUACAAUACCUCAGGCAGGCCCAUCUAUUUCUGUAAUACUCUUUCAUAUUCCCAUACAGUAUGGUUCAUGUUUGCUAACAGUCAGCUGAUGAUUGCUAUUUAGACUGUGCUAAAUCAGUGUAUCUAACAUCAUUCAGAAAUUUCUUUUUAACCAUUUGGGUCUUUUUGCCCUGUUUGCAGCCUUUCAAACAAAUCGUUUUGAUUACACAACAUCGGUUUUUGUCUGUGCUCAACAUGUCUGAACACCAGAGGACCUGCUAGAUCCUUCAGGUCCGAGGUAGUCCUUUCUUCCACACGAUGGAUGAUGGUCGUAUGGGGCCUCCAAGCAGAGCCGGAUUUGCCAUAAACCAUGAUUUUUUUCGCAACAUUUUGUUGGACUGUUCAUCUUCAAUCAAGCUUGCUUACAUGGAACAGUGAUCAUCUGGGAUAGAGUCUUGGGAGAGGUGCACUGAUGCAUACAGACAUCUGCUAUUGAGGUGUUCCAGUUUCCAAUUGAGUGUACUUGGCAAAUAUAACAUAAACCAGCAGGAUACAGCCUGGGUUACAGUUGGUUCGUUGUAAAAAUAUAGAUUUUUUGAUUAUUAUUUAGUUGAUUUUCUGAGUAGCA